rnacentral:misc_RNA from 1 species
GUUUUGUUAUCAAAGUUAAGUAUACUUUCAGAUGAAGUAAUAUGUUUUGCUAAACUGCAGUUCGGAGGUUGUAUUGGAGCUGAAGGCUGAGGGUUGGGUGUAUCCAGGUAUCCAGGAUGAAAAUAAAUGAGAAGACUCUGGUCAGCUAUGCCUGUAAUAAACUGCCUCCUGAUAUGGAGGGUUGGCUGUGGAAACGAGGAGAGGUGAAUAAAGGGUUCCAGAAGAGGUGGUGUAUGCUCCGGGGGAACUUACUCUUCUACUCAGAGAAAAAGGGGGAUAAGGAACCCAUUGGAGUAAUCAUCCUAGAGGGAUGUACUGUAGAACUAGCAGAGGAGGAGACGGAACAUUAUGCUUUCAAGUUGGUAUUCCACACAGAAGGAAGAACAGGGAGAACAUAUAUCCUGGGAGCCUCAUCUCAACCUGAUCUAGAGAAAUGGAUGAAGCUCCUGGCCUGCGCCAGCUACGACUUCAUGAAGCUGAUGGUGGUUGAGCUUCAGCAUCAGAUUACUGAGAUAGAAUCAGGUGGAAGCAGUAAGGCGGAGGGUUCUGGUGUCGGCGGAGAACCCCGUCCUCCGCCUCGAACCCGGCACAAUCCCUUUAAUACAGGGAAAGAAAAACAUAAAUAUACAUGGUUGGACUGGCAUACUGGAUACGGGGAGAGGAUUCUCCAGGAUAGAGAGGAAUGGUUGGAACAGCGUAGGAGGACGGAGCAGGAGAGAUCUCAUCAGAUUGAGAUGUCCGGAGAUAAUUUAUUGAUAGUUCUUUAACCUGGAGCUCAAACCUAGUUCUAACCAAGAUAUUACAAGAUACUUACUUUGCUGAGACGGAUCUAUAUUUGGUCAUGUCCGGUAUUUGCUCCUUUGUUUAUUUUACAUAUUUGCUCCUUUGUUUAUUUUACAUUGUAUCUCUUAAAGAACAGGUUCCAUAUUUGUAUUGACCAACCAGCAACCUUUUCUACAUUUUUAGUUCCUGCAUUAUUGUUAACCUUUGUGUGACCUACGCUUGUUUUUACCUUUCUUUUUGUUUAAUAGAAAGAUGGUUUUUUGUGUCAUUUUUCCAUAUAUGCAAAUCGUAUGUACAUUGUACAAUUUACAAUUAAACAUUUCCUGAAAAAAUAAUUUUCUAGAUUUAAAAUAUCAUUUUAGUUUUGUUACACACGACCCCCUUUUCGAACUGUUCAAAACAAGGACGUUGCUGAAAAACUGUAACAUGACCCCGUUUUAAUUUUAAAUUUUAAUUUGUUUGAUCCUAAAUAAUCUUCAUUUCAACAGUGAUGUACAACGUACACUCAGUGUUAUAUAUUUAUCACUUGCGGGGAAACAACGAUAACUUCGAACAGUACAAUUUCUGUCACUCGAGGCCAAGCCAGUACAUUAAAUGGGUUCCCAUUAAGUGAACAUGAAUCAAAG